AAAGCGUGCGCAGGCGGUUUUGUAAGACUGUCGUGAAAUCCCCGGGCUCAACCUGGGAACUGCAUUAGUGACUGCAUAGCUGGAGUACGGCAGAGGGGGAUGGAAUUCCGCGUGUAGCAGUGAAAUGCGUAGAUAUGCGGAGGAACACCGAUGGCGAAGGCAAUCCCCUGGGCCUGUACUGACGCUCAUGCACGAAAGCGUGGGGAGCAAACAGGAUUAGAUACCCCAGU
rnacentral:rRNA from 1 species